CAUGUAUAUUUUGAAGAGGAUUUUGUGCUCAGCUCAGAGGCAACCCUCCCAAAGACAGUUGGAUUGAAAAUGACUCUGUAGGGCAGCGGGCAAUUCAUCAUCCCGGUGACUUAUCCCUCCCCCAGAGUUUCUCUGAAGUUUCCUGUCAGAGCUCACGUGCCCUGAGGAAAAGUGCUUUUUCUUCCUUCAUACCUUCACUCUUCAGUAGCUACUUGUGCUGCUGUCCUGGGGUCUUGGAGAAAGCAGAGUUGUGCUUGCUUUUGGCUCUGCUUAGUUCCAUGCUGCCAUGUACCUGCAUGGGGAUGCUUAGGGCUCGCAGCCCAAUAGGAGCAGCUGGAUAAAGUAGAGCAGGUUUUCAUUCUGCCAGCCUGCCGUGGAUGGUAGUCUGCCAGCUCAAGCACAGUAAUAAGGUGUCAGGGGAGACCUUAUUGCUCUCUCCAGCUCCCUGAAAGGAGGUGGUAGCGAGGUGAGGGUCAGUCUCUGCUCCCAGGUAACAGUGAUAGGAUGAAAGAUGAUGGCCUCGAGUUGUGCCAGGAGAGGUUCAGGUUGGAUAUGAGGAAACAUUUAUUUUCUGAAAGAGCAGUGCUGCGUUGGCACAGCUGCCCAGGGGUGGUGGGGUUACCGUCCCUGGAGGUGUCCCAGAGCCGUGGAGAUGUGGCACUGAGGGAUGUGGGCAGCGGGCCGCGGGAAGGUGGCUGGCGUACAGCUCCGUACUGCAACCUCGGGAGAGCUGAAAGAGAGUUUAUUUUAAGUGUAACUCAAAGGAACUAAGUACCAGUUACCACAAAUAGGGUGAUCUUUAUCUUCCUUUGUUGGCUUGUGUGGAGGGAAAGGAAUCUCAAACGAGUGACGCAGCCGCAGGCUUCACAGAGCGGAUAUCUCCCUCACAUUGCUGACAUGGCUCUCAUUUUUUGGGUGCUACCUUACUGCUGAAGGAAAUUAACAGGUCGUUUCAGUGCCCUCUUAUGCCCUUGGCUCCCGGUAGGUGUGAUCGAGUAGCUCAAUGCUCACACAAGUGACGUUUCUGCCCUCCUGCAGUCGGUGAAGGGGAGUUGGGUUCCCCCGGUGCAGCUCUUCGGCGGUCUCGGAGCGGCACCUGUAAGCGCUCACUGUGAGAGAUUGCUAAUGUGCUAAUUACCCGGGACCCAAAAAUGCAAGCUGUAAACAAAUGAGGACUGUAUUUAUA
ensembl:lncRNA